UACGUAGGGGCUAGCGUUAUCCGGAAUUAUUGGGCGUAAAGAGCGCGCAGGUGGUUGAUUAAGUCUGAUGUGAAAGCCCACGGCUUAACCGUGGAGGGUCAUUGGAAACUGGUCGACUUGAGUGCAGAAGAGGGAAGUGGAAUUCCAUGUGUAGCGGUGAAAUGCGUAGAGAUAUGGAGGAACACCAGUGGCGAAGGCGGCUUCCUGGUCUGCAACUGACACUGAGGCGCGAAAGCGUGGGGAGCAAACAGGAUUAGAUACCCGGGUA
rnacentral:rRNA from 1 species